CCUACGGGUGACAGCAGUGGGGAAUCUUCCGCAAUGGGCGAAAGCCUGACGGAGCAACGCCGCGUGAUCGAAUGAAGGCCUUCGGGUUGUAAAGAUCUGUUGACAGGGACGAAUCAGCAAUGCGAAUAGUUUUGUGUAUGACGGUACCUGUUUAGAAAGCUCCGGCUAACUACGUGCCAGCAGCCGCGGUAAUACGUAGGGAGCAAGCGUUAUCCGGAUUUAUUGGGUUUAAAGGGUGCGUAGGCGGUCCGGAAAGUCAGCGGUAAAAGCCCGGGGCUCAACCCCGGCGAGCCGUUGAAACUGUCGGACUAGAGACGGCGAGAAGUACGCGGAAUGCGCGGUGUAGCGGUGAAAUGCAUAGAUAUCGCGCAGAACUCCGAUUGCGAAGGCAGCGUACCGGCGCCGGACUGACGCUGAGGCACGAAAGCGUGGGUAUCGAACAGGAUUAGAUACCCCAGUAGUC
rnacentral:rRNA from 1 species